ACUAGGUAGCACGUCAGACUCAUAAUCUGAAGGUUGUGAGUUCAACCCUCAUACGGGGCAUGGCAGUCUUUUCCCAAACCUCUUCAGUUGAAAUUGGUUUUCACCACUUGUACACAAACACGCGUCUGGCGCAUUGAGUCAAUUCUCCACUUGUUCCCUUCUCCUUCAUCCAUCUUGCCUGAUAUUCGUUACUUGUGCUAUCCAUGCGGCCUCGUUAGCGCAGUAGGUAGCGCGUCAGUCUCAUAAUCUGAAGGUCAUGAGUUCAACCCUCAUACGGGGCAUGGCACUCUUUUCCCAAACCUCUUCAAUGAAAAUGUUUUUCGCCACUUGGACAUGAACAUGCGUCUGACCCAUUGAGUCAAUUCUCCACUUGGCGUUCCCUUCUCCUUCAUCCAUAUUGCCUUGCAUUCGUUACUUGCGUUAGGCAUGCGGCCUCGUUAGCGCAGUAGGUAGCGCGUCAGUCUCAUAAUCUGAACGUCGUGAGUUCAACCCUCAUAUGGGGCAUGGCACUCUUUUCCCAAACCUGUUCA